rnacentral:rRNA from 1 species
CCCUUAGAUGUUCUGGGCCGCACGCGUGCUACACUGAGUGGAUCAGCGGGUCAGGUUGCGCGAAAGUGUUUCCUAAUCUUGAAAUCCGCUCGUGAUGGGGAUUGACGGUUGCAAUUUUCCGUCAUGAACGAGGAAUACCUUGUAAGCGCGGGUCAUCAUCCCGCGCUGAAUACGUCCCUGCCCUUUGUACACACCGCCCGUCGCUCCUACCGAUUGAGUGGUCCGGUGAGGUUUUGGGAUCUGAGCAAAAAGAGCGUUUCGCUCGUUUGGCUCGGAAAACUCAGUCGAACCUUAUCAUUUAGAGGAAGGAGAAGUCGUAACA